AAUUGGAAAUCGUCUUCCGUCACGAUACUAGCGAUCGAGAGAAAGAAGAAGGCAAAACAAAUUUUGAGAAAAUUAUGAGUCUCUGAGUCUCUCCGCUUAAGCAUUCCCCUUUUUAUAAACACACUUACGAGUUAUGACGGUGCCUGAUUUCCUUUUUUUUGAAACUCCUAGUUUCCUUUUUUCAGUUAACAUAACAGCUGGCUAAUUUCCUUUUUUUUUUAUAGUCUAAUUUCCUUUUUUUUUGUCAACGACUAUACUUAUUUCUAGUUUCCAUUUCUUUAAAAAUGGGCCUGACGUUAGCCCAUAUCAAAUUAAUGGGCUGAUGUUUGCCGAAAAGAAGCAUUAGUGGGCUGAUUACCCUGCCCGUAA